CAACCCUCGAACCCCUCCGGGGGAUCGGCGUUGGGGAUCGGGACCCCUCACCGGGUGCCGGCCCUGAAAUACAGUGGCGGUCUCGCCGCAGCCUCUCCUGCGCAGUAGUUUGCACAACUCGCACCGGGAGCGCGGCGCGUCCACGUCCGUAAAACACCCCAAACUUCUGAAA
rnacentral:misc_RNA from 1 species